CACGUAGGGGGCAAGCGUUGUCCGGAUUUAUUGGGCGUAAAGAGCUCGUAGGUGGCUCGGUUAGUCGGGUGUGAAAACUCGGGGCUCAACCCCGAGACGCCACUCGAUACUGCUGUGGCUUGAGUCCGGUAGGGGAGCGUGGAAUUCCUGGUGUAGCGGUGAAAUGCGCAGAUAUCGUAAGGAAGACCAGUGGCGAAGGCGGGUCUCUGGACAGUUCCUGACGCUGAGGCACGAAGGUCAGGGAGCAAACGGG
rnacentral:rRNA from 1 species